rnacentral:lncRNA from 10 species
CCGAGUUUCACUCUGCUACCCAGGCUGGAGUGCAAUGGUGUGAUCUCAGCUCACUGCAACCUCCACCUCCCAGAUUCAAGCAAUUCUCCCACCUCAGCCUCCCGAGUGGCUGGGAUUAUAGGCUCCCACCACCACACCCAACUAAUUUUUUUUUUUUUAAGUAGAGACAGGGUUUCACCAUGCUGGCCAGGCUUAGUUUCGAACUCCUGACCUCAGGUGAUCCGCCUGCCUCAGCCUCUCAAAAUGCUGGGAUUACCAGCAUGAGCCACUGCGUCCAGCCGGCACUUUUGUUUGUUUAAAGGGAAGGGGACAAAUAGGAUAAACUCCUCAACAUCUGCCUCUGGAAAAGCUCUAGAACAAAUCAUAAUCUGAACCAUCACAAGCUACCCUGGGUCGCUUAAGAGGCCACAGCAAGCUAGUCUCGUUUCCUUUUUAGCAGAGUUUACUGAAUUAUAGACCAAAGGAAUGCCAGACGCAAGGGGUCUGGACCUCUAUGAAGUAUAUGAACACAGUCUCCUGCCCAGACCUUAGGGAUGACAAAGGAGGAGGCAGUGAGAUGACAAAGCAUUUAGAUAAUAUUUGCAGUUGUUAUAAAUGGCCAGUAAUAAAGUGCUGUUUGGUGGAUCUAGGACAGGCUGCUGAACAGGCACCAAACUGAACUCACGGCCCCUUUGAAUUUGCUCCCGGAUCUCAGUAAACGGCAAUGACAUCACUAUCUAGCCAGGCUCCCAGAUAUAAAUCUUGAGUACUCAUCCUCAGACUCUCUCCCUCCGUCACCCACAGAAGCAAUCCAAUUUUGUCUCUGGGAAGAUCUCCCAAAUCCAUCUUUCCUUUUCCAGUCCUGCUAUCGCUUACUGGGUUGCAGCCCCUUUUCUCUUGUGUGCUUUCUCUUUUUGAGACAGGGUCUCAUUCUGUCCCCCAGGCUGGAGUGCAGUGGCAUGAUUUCAGCUCACUGCAAACUCCGCCUCUUGGGUUCAAGCAAUUCUCCCACCUCAAGCACCUGACUAGCUGGGACUACAGACAUACACCACCACGCCUGGCUAACUUUUUAUUUUUUGGUAGAAACGGGGUUUCACAUGUUGGCCAGGCUGGUCUCAAUCUCCUGACCUCAAGUGAUCUGUCCACCUCGGCCUCCGAAAGUACUAGGAUUACAGGCAUGAGCCACCAUGCCUGGCCUACUCUUCUGUGUUUUCUAACUGGUUUCUAGAAGGGAGACGUACUCCAUCCCAGUACAUCUUGGGUCACAUGCUGAAAGGCAAAGCUGAGCAGGACAUUUUCCUCCUUAAACAUCUCCACUGGCUGACAUGAUAAAAUCCAAAUUCCCUAACUUAGUCUUCCCUAGCUCCUAUCCACAUCAUCGCUACCCUAACCUCCCAACACAUCCCCUAUAUUGAAGCUACAAUGCACUUCCUGACCUCAGGCAAGCCAGGCCUUGUCAUGACUUCACGUCUGUAAGAACCAUGGCAAUGUCACCUCCUCUGUGAAGCCUCUCUGACCACUUCCAGGCAGAGUCAGCCCCUCUGCCUCUCUGUGCCCACAGACUCUUGCUAAACUCCUACUUCAGCACUCACCAGUGGGAUUUAUAAAACGGUUUCUCUUUUCACUGUGGACCAUGUACCUCUUGGAAGCUGGGACAAUGUCUUGUUCAUCUUUUGAUUUCAAAUCCUAGACCCGGUACAUGGCAUUUAGGAGGUGUUCAAUAAGUAUCUACUUGUUGACUAAACCCAAAGAACAACUUCAGUGGCAAACCUAUUAGUGUGUGUGUGUGUGUGUGUGUGUGUGUGUGUGUGUGUGUGUGAUGGAGUCUCAUUCUGUCGCCCAGGCUGGAAUGCAGUGGCACGAUCUCAGCUCACUGAAAUCUCCACCUCCCGGGUCCAAGAGAUUCUCGUGCCUCAGCCUCCUGAGUAGCUGGGACUACAGGC